CGGCGAUGUAUGCCCGUACGUAACCGCGAACCGCGAAGAGAUGAAAAUACAAGUCUGUUCCAAGUGGUAGUUUUGUCUUAUGGGAUGUAACGCCGCACUGCCAGCUGAAAGUAAGCCAACAUUUUGGAGAAAUGUGUCACUUCAGUCUUCAUGGUCGAACUCUGUUUUCGACCUGCUUUACGGUGGUUUCAUGCUUGGCUUAUUCCUCGACGCUGAAGAUGAUGAGGGAACAUUCCAGAUGAAGCAGCCAGCCAAAGACCUGAAGAGACUGGGUCCAAAGUGAGCCCAGAUAAUGGGAUGGAGAGACGUGGGCCAUGGUAACACAGAAAGGUGCCAAGAUGUUUGGAGAGUCUUACAGCAAGAGUACUGAGUCCAACACCUGGGGAGCACCUGUAAUUCUUUGCACAGAAAUACCGCCCAUGCCCAUUGAAGAAAUUGAGUGUGAUUGUGUGGACACAGAAGAGAACAGGCAAAGAAGAGAAUUUUGUAAUCAUAUUGAGGGUUAUGGCAGCGUCUGCAGCAGCACGGAUCCUGCGCCAUUGUUGUUUAACCCUGAACCAGUGAGUAGCAACAAAAUAUAUGUUGUUUUUUAGAUUAAUAAUUGUUGUGUCAGAUCAUGCCUACAAUUUCCAUUAAAA